rnacentral:tRNA from 1 species
GGUUUUUAAAAAAUAGCUCAGUGGUAGAGUGUUCCCCUAGUAAGGGAAAGUUCAGUGGUUCAAAUCUGCUAAGAGGCA